rnacentral:rRNA from 1 species
UCUACGGGAGGCAGCAGUGAGGAAUAUUGGUCAAUGGGCGCAAGCCUGAACCAGCCAAGUCGCGUGAGGGAUGACGGUCCUCUGGAUUGUAACCCUCUUUUGUCGGGGAGCAAGGCCCGCCACGUGUGGCGGGAACGCGAGUACCCGAAGCACAAGCAUCGGCUAAAUCCGUGCCAGCGGCCGCGGUAAUACGGGGGAUGCGAGCGGUAUCCGGAUUUAUUGGGGUUAAAGGGUGCGUAGGCGGAAGGGUAAGUCAGCGGGCAAAGGUCGGUGAUCAACACCGGCCUGCCGUUGAAACUGGUCGUCUGGAGUGAGCGAGAAGUAUGCGGAAGGCGUGGUGUAGCGGUGAAAUGCAUAGAUAUCACGAAGAACUCCGAUUGCGAAGGCAGCAUACCGGCGCUCAACUGACGCUGAGGCACGAAAGCGUGGGGAGCGAACAGGAUUAGAUACCCGAGUAGUC